rnacentral:rRNA from 1 species
UGGUUUGUCGCGUUGUUCGUGAAAUCUCACGGCUUAACUGUGAGCGUGCGGGCGAUACGGGCAGACUUGAGUACUGCAGGGGAGACUGGAAUUCCUGGUGUAGCGGUGGAAUGCGCAGAUAUCAGGAGGAACACCGGUGGCGAAGGCGGGUCUCUGGGCAGUAACUGACGCUGAGGAGCGAAAGCGUGGGGAGCGAACAGGAUUAGAUACCCUGGUAGUCCACGCCGUAAACGGUGGGUACUAGGUGUGGGUUUCCUUCCUUGGGAUCCGUGCCGUAGCUAACGCAUUAAGUACCCCGCCUGGGGAGUACGGCCGCAAGGCUAAAACUCAAAGAAAUUGACGGGGGCCCGCACAAGCGGCGGAGCAUGUGGAUUAAUUCGAUGCAACGCGAAGAACCUUACCUGGGUUUGACAUGCACAGGACGCCGGCAGAGAUGUCGGUUCCCUUGUGGCCUGUGUGCAGGUGGUGCAUGGCUGUCGUCAGCUCGUGUCGUGAGAUGUUGGGUUAAGUCCCGCAACGAGCGCAACCCUUGUCUCAUGUUGCCAGCGGGUAAUGCCGGGGACUCGUGAGAGACUGCCGGGGUCAACUCGGAGGAAGGUGGGGAUGACGUCAAGUCAUCAUGCCCCUUAUGUCCAGGGCUUCACACAUGCUACAAUGGCCGGUACAAAGGGCUGCGAUGCCGCGAGGUUAAGCGAAUCCUUUUAAAGCCGGUCUCAGUUCGGAUCGGGGUCUGCAACUCGACCCCGUGAAGUCGGAGUCGCUA